rnacentral:lncRNA from 1 species
ACUGAAAUUACCGCAUUAGCAUACUACCAUCAAUUACAUCAAUGGCCCAAUGGUAGUUCCAUAAUCAUUUCAUUUCAUCUACUUCUUUGUCAUAUUUUCUUGCUCUGAGAAAUCACUUUCACCAACUAUUUUGCACCUAAUUCAUCUCACAUGUUAGCAAAAUUCAAAGCAUAUAUUGUGAAGGAUGGGAAAGGGCUUUGCCACAAGCGUUAUUCCAGUUACUUUAGGUUUGACAC